rnacentral:rRNA from 1 species
UACGUAGGGUGCGAGCGUUGUCCGGAAUUAUUGGGCGUAAAGGGCUCGUAGGCGGUUUGUCGCGUCGGGAGUGAAAACUCAGGGCUUAACCCUGAGCCUGCUUCCGAUACGGGCAGACUAGAGGUAUGCAGGGGAGAACGGAAUUCCUGGUGUAGCGGUGAAAUGCGCAGAUAUCAGGAGGAACACCGGUGGCGAAGGCGGUUCUCUGGGCAUGUCCUGACGCUGAGGAGCGAAAGCGUGGGGAGCAAACAGG